AGAGUUUGAUCAUGGCUCAGAACGAACGCUGGCGGCGUGGAUAAGACAUGCAAGUCGAACGCUGACUUGAGGGUAGCAAUAUUUUCAAGUCGGAGUGGCGCAAGGGUGCGUAACACGUGGGCAAUCUGCCGUGAAGUUGGGGAUAACUCGCUGAAAGGCGAGCUAAUACCGAAUGUGAAAAUUGGUUGGCAUCAGUUGAUUUUCAAAGUUGGGGACCGUAAGGCCUGACGCUUCACGAUGAGCCCGCGGCCUAUCAGCUAGUUGGUGAGGUAACGGCUCACCAAGGCUAAGACGGGUAGCUGGUCUGAGAGGACGACCAGCCUCACUGGAACUGAGACACGGUCCAGACACCUACGGGUGGCAGCAGUCGAGAAUUUUUCUCAAUGGGCGAAAGCCUGAAGGAGCGACGCCGCGUGGGGGAUGAAUGGCUUCGGCCCGUAAACCCCUGUCAUUUGUGACCAAACCUUCCGGUUUAAUAGAUCGGAAGCUGAUGGUAGCGGAAGAGGAAGGGACGGCUAACUCUGUGCCAGCAGCCGCGGUAAUACAGAGGUCCCAAGCGUUGUUCGGAUUCACUGGGCGUAAAGGGUGCGUAGGUGGUCGGGUAAGUUUGAUGUGAAAUCUCCGGGCUCAACCCGGAAACUGCAUUGAAUACUAUUCGGCUAGAGGGUUGGAGGGGGGACUGGAAUACUUGGUGUAGCAGUGAAAUGCGUAGAUAUCAAGUGGAACACCAGUGGCGAAGGCGAGUCCCUGGACAACUCCUGACACUGAGGCACGAAAGCUAGGGGAGCAAACAGGAUUAGAUACCCUAGUAGUCC
rnacentral:rRNA from 1 species